GACCAGACUCCUACGGGAGGCAGCAGUGGGGGAUAUUGCACAAUGGGGGGAACCCUGAUGCAGCGACGCCGCGUGGGUGAAGAAGCGCCUCGGCGCGUAAAGCCCUAUCGGCAGGGAAGAAAUUGGACGGUACCUGACUAAGAAGCCCUGGCUAACUACGUGCCAGCAGCCGCGGUAAUACGUAGGGGGCAAGCGUUAUCCGGAUUCACUGGGUGUAAAGGGAGCGUAGACGGCCAUGCAAGCCUGGAGUGAAAGCCCGGGGCCCAACCCCGGGACUGCUCUGGGAACUGUGCGGCUGGAGUGCGGGAGGGGCAGGCGGAAUUCCUGGUGUAGCGGUGAAAUGCGUAGAUAUCAGGAGGAACACCGGCGGCGAAGGCGGCCUGCUGGACCGCGACUGACGUUGAGGCUCGAAAGCGUGGGGAGCAAACAGGAUUAGAUACCCGCGUA
rnacentral:rRNA from 1 species